rnacentral:rRNA from 1 species
GGCCCGCACAAGCGGUGGAGUAUGUGGUUUAAUUCGACGCAACGCGCAGAACCUUACCCAGCCUUGACAUCUUCAGAAUCCCUGCGAAAUCAGGGAGUGCCUCCUUACGGAGGAAUUGAAUGACAGGUGCUGCAUGGCUGUCGUCAGCUCGUGUCGUGAGAUGUUCGGUUAAGUCCGGCAACGAGCGCAACCCCUAUCGUUAGUUGCUACCAGUUCGGCUGGGCACUCUAGCGAGACUCCCGGUGUUAAACCGGCGGAAGAUGGGGAUGACGUCAAGUCCUCAUGGCCCUUAUGGCUGGGGCUACACACGUACUACAAUGGCAACUACAGAGGGCAGCGAGACCGCAAGGUGGAGCCAAUCCCAAAAGUUGCUCAGUUCGGAUUGGAGUCUGCAACUCGACUCCAUGAAGUUGGAAUCGCUAGUAAUCGCAGGUC